AACCUUAUAGUAUAGUACGUAGUACGUCGACUAUUAUGUUAAAGGUAUAAGUUCGAUUUUUAUUAAGGUUU
rnacentral:tRNA from 1 species